rnacentral:rRNA from 1 species
AGCAUAUCAAUAAGCGGAGGAAAAGAAACCAACAGGGAUUGCCCUAGUAACGGCGAGUGAAGCGGCAACAGCUCAAAUUUGAAAUCUGGCUUCGGCCCGAGUUGUAAUUUGCAGAGGAAGCUUUAGGCGCGGCACCAACUGAGUCCCCUGGAACGGGGCGCCACAGAGGGUGAGAGCCCCGUAUAGUUGGACGCCUAGCCUGUGUAAAGCUCCUUCGACGAGUCGAGUAGUUUGGGAAUGCUGCUCAAAAUGGGAGGUAAAUUUCUUCUAAAGCUAAAUACCGGCCAGAGACCGAUAGCGCACAAGUAGAGUGAUCGAAAGAUGAAAAGCACUUUGAAAAGAGGGUUAAAUAGCACGUGAAAUUGUUGAAAGGGAAGCGCUUGUGACCAGACUUGCGCCCGGCUGAUCAUCCGGUGUUCUCACCGGUGCACUCUGCCGGGCUCAGGCCAGCAUCGGUUCUCGCGGGGGGAUAAAGGUCCUGGGAACGUAGCUCCUCCGGGAGUGUUAUAGCCCAGGGCGUCAUGCCCUCGCGGGGACCGAGGUUCGCGCAUCUGCAAGGAUGCUGGCGUAAUGGUCAUCAGCGACCCGUCUUGAAACACGGACCAAGGAGUCAAGGUUUUGCGCGAGUGUUUGGGUGUAAAACCCGCACGCGUAAUGAAAGUGAACGUAGGUGAGAGCUUCGGCGCAUCAUCGACCGAUCCUGAUGUUUUCGGAUGGAUUUGAGUAGGAGCGUUAAGCCUUGGACCCGAAAGAUGGUGAACUAUGCUUGGAUAGGGUGAAGCCAGAGGAAACUCUGGUGGAGGCUCGCAGCGGUUUCUGACGUGCAAAUCGAUCGUCAAAUCUGAGCAUGGGG